GGGAGGUGGACAGCGGCGAAAGGGAGAGUAAUGCGUGGAUACCUGCCCUCGGGUCCGGGAUAGCUGCGGGAAACUGCAGGUAAUACCGGAUAACAUCUCCGGAUCAAAGGUGUGAUUCCGCCGGAGGAUGGGUUCACGUCCUAUUAGCUUGUUGGUGGGGUAACGGCCUACCAAGGCGACGAUGGGUACCGGGCGUGAGAGCGUGGCCCGGCUCACUGGGACUGAGACACUGCCCAGACACCUACGGGUGGCUGCAGUCGAGAACCUUCGGCAAUGGACGAAAGUCUGACCGAGCGACGCCGCGUGCGGGAUGAAGGCCUUCGGGUUGUAAACCGCUGUCAGAGGGGAUGAAAUGCUAGAGGGCUAUCCCUGUAGUUUGACAAAUCCUCAGAGGAAGUACGGGCUAAGUUCGUGCCAGCAGCCGCGGUAAGACGAACCGUACAAACGUUAUUCGGAAUCACUGGGCUUAAAGGGUGCGUAGGCGGUCCGGCAAGUUGGGUGUGAAAUCCCUCGGCUCAACCGAGGAAUUGCGCUCAAAACUGCCGGACUCGAGGGAGACAGAGGUGAGCGGAACUUAGGGUGGAGCGGUGAAAUGCGUUGAUAUCCUAAGGAACACCAGUAGCGAAAGCGGCUCACUGGGUCUCUUCUGACGCUCAUGCACGAAAGCUAGGGGAGCGAACGGGAUUAGAUACCCCGGUAGUCCUAGCUGUAAACGAUGAGCACUGGGUUGGAGGCUCCUCCAUAGGCUUCCUGCCGUAGCGAAAGUGUUAAGUGCUCCGCC
rnacentral:rRNA from 1 species